rnacentral:rRNA from 1 species
CCUACGGGGUGCAGCAGUCGAGAAUCAUUCACAAUGGGGGAAACCCUGAUGGUGCGACGCCGCGUGGGGGAAUGAAGGUCUUCGGAUUGUAAACCCCUGUCAUGUGGGAGCAAAUUAAAAAGAUAGUACCACAAGAGGAAGAGACGGCUAACUCUGUGCCAGCAGCCGCGGUAAUACAGAGGUCUCAAGCGUUGUUCGGAAUCACUGGGCGUAAAGCGUGCGUAGGCUGUUUCGUAAGUCGUGUGUGAAAGGCGCGGGCUCAACCCGCGGACGGCACAUGAUACUGCGAGACUAGAGUAAGGGAGGGGGAACCGGAAUUCUCGGUGUAGCAGUGAAAUGCGUAGAUAUCGAGAGGAACACUCGUGGCGAAGGCGGGUUCCUGGACAGUAACUGACGCUGAGGCACGAAGGCCAGGGGAGCGAAAGGGAUUAGAUACCCCAGUAGUC